UAUUUAUUAUUAUUUUUUUUUUUUGCAAAUAUAUAUACAGAUAGGUAUUUGAUGUGUGUAUAUCAAGGGUGCCUAAUUGCUAGCGUUACUGAAUUUGCAAGUUUUUCAAAACCAAAUAAUAGAAGUUGGUAGACUGCUGAAUUAAGUGGUUAGUAGAUGCAAAUUUUAGUUUUGUUCGUGUACUUACAUGACAACUAGAGAGCAUUGUUGAUUGCAAUUAAUGGACUGUGCAAAGGUACUUUAUGUUAAAUUUAUAUGUUGCUGUUGGUGGAUGAGGCCGACCUUUAACUUGUUCCAAGCUCUACCAGUAUUGCGCUUGGAAAGAUCCGUAGCCCUACUAUUGUGGUGGCAUCCACUGAAAUGGGAGGCAAUGCCUUAUGGUGUGUAAAUUAACGCGUUUCGAAAGAGGUCUCCUCUCUCUUGGAAACUUGAUUUAUGAAUAUCAAUAGACAAUUUCUUGUUUUUGGAUUUGCAGAAAUAAUUAA
rnacentral:misc_RNA from 1 species